AUGGGCGCGGUGCGGGUGCCCGGUGGUUCAAGGUGCAGGCACCCGGUGGUGGCCGAUUUGGGCGAAAAUCUUUGGGGAAAGGCCAAAUUCGGUGGAUUUCGUGGUGGGAAGGGUGGGGAUUGUUGGGGAGGGGCUAGAUCCACUUGCCAAACAUCAAAUCCAUGGACCAAAACAACCAACUCUCACAAGAUCCAACAAAUUGCAAGAUUUUUUUUUUGCUAUUUUUAUGGGGAUUUUCGGAUUUGGACGAAAAACAACAAAAUCAAGCUAGCAAAUGGGGGGAUGGGACUCCAAGAUGUGAAUAAACCUUGCUCAUGA
rnacentral:rRNA from 1 species